CCUACGGGAGGCAGCAGUGAGGAAUAUUGGUCAAUGGGCGCGAGCCUGAACCAGCCAAGUAGCGUGAAGGAUGACGGCCCUACGGGUUGUAAACUUCUGUUAUAAAGGAAUAAAGUGAGGCACGGGUGCAGUGUUGUAUGUACGUUAUGAAUAAGGAUCGGCUAACUCCGUGCCAGCAGCCGCGGUAAUACGGAGGAUCCGAGCGUUAUCCGGAUUUAUUGGGGUUAAAGGGAGCGUAGAUGGGUUGUUAAGUCAGUUGUGCUAGUUUGCGGCUCAACCGGAAAACUGCAUUUGAUACUGGCAGUCUUGAGUACAGUUUCGGUAGGCUGUAUUCGUGGUGUAGCGGUGAUAUGCUUCGAUAUC
rnacentral:rRNA from 1 species